GACGAACGCUGGCGGCGUGCUUAACACAUGCAAGUCGAACGGAAAGGCCCUGCUUUUGUGGGGUGCUCGAGUGGCAAACGGGUGAGUAACCCGUGAGUAACCUGCCCUUGACUUUGGGAUAACUUCAGGAAACUGGGGCUAAUACCGGAUAGGAGCUCCUGCUGCAUGGUGGGGGUUGGAAAGUUUCGGCGGUUGGGGAUGGACUCGCGGCUUAUCAGCUUGUUGGUGGGGUAGUGGCUUACCAAGGCUUUGACGGGUAGCCGGCCUGAGAGGGUGACCGGCCACAUUGGGACUGAGAUACGGCCCAGACUCCUACGGGAGGCAGCAGUGGGGAAUAUUGCACAAUGGGCGGAAGCCUGAUGCAGCAACGCCGCGUGCGGGAUGACGGCCUUCGGGUUGUAAACCGCUUUCGCCUGUGACGAAGCGUGAGUGACGGUAAUGGGUAAAGAAGCACCGGCUAACUACGUG
rnacentral:rRNA from 1 species